UUUUAACAAAUUGCAAGAAAC
rnacentral:piRNA from 1 species